AGUGGAAUAGCUGGGUCAAAUGGGGUUCCGUUCCCAGUUUUCCAGGGAAUCUCCAUACUGCUUUCCAUAUUGGUUGAGCCAAUUUGCAGUCCCUCCAGCAAU
rnacentral:pre_miRNA from 1 species